rnacentral:lncRNA from 1 species
GGAGGCUCAGGCACGGCGGGCUGCAGGUCCCGAGCUCUGCCCCGCGGGGAGGCAGCUAAGGCCCGGCGAGAAAUCGAGCACAGCAGCUGUCGGCCCAUGUGCUAAGCCCCUCACUCCCCGGGUCGGCGGGGCCCGCCGGCCACUCCGAGUGCGAGGCCCGCCGAGCCCACGCCUACCCGGAACUCGCGCUGGCCCGCAAGCGCCGCGCGCAGCCCCGAUUCCCGCCCGCGCCUCUCCCUCCACACCUCCCUGCAAGCUGAGGGAGCCGGCUCCGGCCUUGGCCAGCCCAGAAAGGGGCUCCUACAGUGCAGCGGCGGGCUGAAGAGCUCCUCAAGCACGGCCAGAGUGGGCGCUAAGGCCGAGGAGGCCCCGAGAGCGAGCGAGGGCUGUGAGCGCUGCCAGCAUGCUGUCACCUCUCAAUAGUAAGUUCUGGAAGCUGAGAAGUCCGAAAUCAAGGUACCAGCAGGGUCCGGUCUGCUGAGGGCUGCUCUCUGCUGUGCCCUCCAGAGAGAACAAAUGCUGUGUCCUCCAGGAGGAAGACCUGGCUCUCUGUGAAGACAUGGCUUGGAUUUAAUUGGGUUGUAAUGCACACAAAGUAAUCAAGUCAAAUCCACAAAUGGCCGUUGAGGACAACUAUUACAAGGAAAUAAGCUUGACAAAAUGCCCCUUUACUAAUUUCUGGCCUGAAAUCUACAGACCUUGCACCCCAGUUGAUAAAUAGCAGAAUUGGAAUUUAAACAGGCCUGGUGACCCAAAAACUUGACUCUAUAUCUUACCCUGAAGAAAUAUGCAAGUGAUAUCAAGCCUGAUAUUGAAACUUUAGUCCACUUCAUCAGACUUUGGAAAAAAACGUGACACUCAACAUAGCAGGUGCCCUAGACAAUGACGGAAUCUCGUUGAAAGCUCUUUAAGCUGAAAUUAAUUUAUGCUCGACAGUGAUUAAAAGAGAAAGUGAGAAGGGGAUGGAAAUUAACAAAUCCAUCUUUAUUGCUGAGAUCCCAUUAUGAUUAUAAGGAGAGAGAAAAAUCAACGUGGCGGGUGCCAGCUGCAAUCUGAUGACCUUUCAUCUUAUUUCUCAUCUGCUGGUCCCAUCAACCCUAACUUUGUAUCUGCUAAAACUCAGGGAAGAGUGGCUUAUUUAAUUGGUGAAUUUUAGAGAAGAAAUUGAGAAUGUCUGCUACUUUUCAUCCCUCCUGAAACUACUACUAUUUUUAGAGGUGCCUAACAUGUUGACCUGCUCUUUGGUAGGUGGUAAACUUGCCUUGCAAACUCUUCUGCAAGAAAGGCUUGGGAUCUUUCAGUUUAGUUUAUAACUGACUAGAUUUAUCAGUCCAGAUUGGCUAGGUUAUGCUGGGUAACAAACAACACCAACAUUCUAGUAGAUUUUAAAUAAAGGUUUAACUUCUGCUUCUGCUUAUACUGCUUGUCCAACAAGUGUGAGUAGAGACACAGCCUGAUGGAGACUUAAUCUUAACAUUCUCAACUAUGAUUACCAAAGCAGAAAAAUAAAACACAUUAAAUCACAUGCUGGCUUAUGAAAGCCUCCAUCUUUAAGUGACAUGUGCACUCUCGUUCAUAGUUCAUUGGCCAAAGAAAGUCACCUGGCAUGCCUAAUUUCAAAGUGGUAAAAAAAUGCAAUUCUUCCAUGUGCCUAGAUGAAUGAACUACAGCACAUAUGUGGUGAAUAGCAUGGUGAGUGUCACAGUGAAUCAGUGUAAAAUAUACAACUCAGUGGUUUUUAGCAUAUUUGCAGAGCUGUGCCACCAUAAUCACAGUCAAUUUUAGAAUAUUUUUAUCACCCCCAAAAGAAACCCAUACCCAUUAAUUGUCAUUGUCUACACUUUUGAUUUAAUGAAAACUAAUCAGAUAAAAAAAGAAAACAUUAUUUUAUUUAUAAAACACAUUUGAUUUUACAAACAAUAACAUAUGCAUUAGGAAAGAGGAAACAUUUAGUUCCUUUGAGCUAUAGAAACGACUUCUAGGUCUUCAAGAAAGAGUUGGGCAUGAGGGGAUAUGUUCUCCUUUGUGCCUGAUUUUCCCAUGGAUUAGAGGUUUGCUGACAUUGUGUCUUUUGGCUCUUCCAAGAGCUACUGCUUUCUCCUAAAACAGAAUUUUGUAUUCAAGUCUUGCUUCUAAUCUUCCAUGUUCUUAUUUUUUUUCUCUUCAUCACAUUGCAAUAUUAAAGAAUUAGCAUGACAGUUUAAAUGCAUUUACACAAUACCUAAUGGUAAAAUGAAUGUUAUUAUCAUUGUCCUAUAUAUGUGCAAUUACCUGUAUUUAUACAAAGUUUCAUCACAAAAGUUGGCUUAUUUUAACUUCAUAGUAAGUUGUAAGAUACCUAUAAUUAUCUAAAUUUUACAAAUGAGAAAAUAACACUCAAUGCUAGAGGUAGAACCUAAACUCAGAUCUACUAAUUCCAUGCCCGGGGAUCUUCCCUGUAAUGAUUUUAGAAUAUCACUUCUUAUGGAAUUACAAAAGAAACAGGCAAGACUUUUAUAAUCAGUAGUUUCCAUCUGUAUCCCAAAGAUAAAUUGACUCAACAUAUUCAAUACUUAUUUAUUAGUUCCAAAGUGAUUGACAGCUGGGGCUCACAGAUCCUUUGGCUCUGAAAUAUGGAGGGAAAACCUGAGUAGAGAAAAAAAAAUGUGAUCAAAGCAGAACCAGGGAUCACCACAAACUUCAGAUCGAGGCACAUAAAUGAGAUAUCAGUGAGAAUGUCAAGGCAGUUGGGUCGGGCACUAGGAAAGCAUAGAUGCAAAAGAGAAAAUGGAGUUAAGGAAUCACAAUAUGUCAGAAAUAUGGUCAGAAUUAAAUCCAUUUUCCUGAAACCAUAGAAUAGAACAAGGCAGAAAAGGUGAGGCAUAAGACACCAAGGAGAAAACAAUUCUGAGACAAACUCCAGAAGCACGGUAUCAGUUGGGCAAUUAGCUCUUCUGAAUCUAAUUGGAAACCAUCUUGGAACACACAUGUUGUAUAAAAUGAGAUACCACUAUCUGCAUCUUGUGCCUUUUGUAACAAUAUAAUAAAAUUGUCAUAUAUUGAUUGCCGGAAUCAAUACCAGGACAUUUACAUACAUUUUCUGAUUUAACUUUUGUAAUAUGGGCAGUCAUUUUGAUUCUAUCGGUCAGGAAGUGGUGACUCAAGAAAGGAAGUAAUUUGCCUAAAAUUACAGGACUGGACCCAGACUUUCAGAUCCCAACAUCUUUAUACUUAAAAAAAAAUUCAUCUAUACUCUGUGUGUUCUAUUUUAGUAUAUGUUAUUAGAAAAUAACAGUAAUUCUCUCUCUCUCUCUCUCUGCCUCUGUGUGUGUGUGUGACACAGAGGAACUAAAUAGAAUGAUAGGAAUGCAGCAUCUGGCCACAUCUCAGGGAUGUUAAAUGAGAAUCUACAUUUUAACAAAAUGUCUAGUUAAUCCCUAUUUAUAUUAAAAUGAGAAACACUGAGUUAGAUAAGAUUACCCUUAUGUUACAGAUCAAAAUCCUCAGAAACAAAAAGUUUUCCAGCUCAGAUUGUGAAGAUCUUCUCAAGUUUUGUCAAGCAAUUGGGACAGUAAGUAUAGCAAAGGUAGAGGCGGGUAUUAAUGAUUACUAACUGUCUGCUUCAUUGAGCUCAUUGCAACAGUAGAUGGAGAAUACUGGAGAAGAGAAUAUAAUCAGCCCCCCAUACCCAUGGGUUCCACAUUCGUGGAUUCAAUCAACUUUGGAUCAAAAAUUUAAAAAAAAACAUGACAAUAAAAAACAACACAAAUCUUAAAAACAAUAAAGCUUAACAAUUAUUUACAUAGCAUUUAUAUUAGGUAUUGUAAGUAAUCUGG